CUUUUAAGUAGGGGAGUUUGAGUAAAUAUAUGGCAAGUAUAGGGGAAAUUUUCCCUUUGUUCUAUUUGGGAAAGAUAUUAUGCAAUCUUUUAUUUUGGGAUAGCUAUUAGAGAUGUAGCGAAGUUCCUAGUUUGAGUUCUGUUGAGUUUCUAUUUUGCUAGUUUAUGUUUCAACGAGUAAUUACCAAUUAGAAGUCUUUGUUUUUUGGGUUUUAUGAAUAGACAGUGAAGAAUGGAAUACUCAGUUAAUGUAGAGCUUGCCUGCACCACCUGUGCUGGUGCACCCUCCCAUCCCCUCUCUCCCCUUCCACCUACGAGAUCCUCUCUUCUUCCUUUUUAUUUUCUUCCAUUCUUCUCUUCCUUCUUCCUUCUGUUUCAUUUCCUGUUACUGUUCUGCCCUAAUGGUACCUGCGGUUUCCCUAUGCUGCUCAUAAAUCUCUAUUCCCGUCUCUGUUCUCUCAUAUUUGGGUCGAAGGAUCCUUUUUCGCGACAAACCCCCCAAGCCUUAUCUCCUAAACUCCCUUUUAUCGUAUGUUUGAAACCCAAUUGCAGUUCUGAAGUUGCUUUACCGUCAAAGCCAAUUUGCAGGAAUUUCUUACAGAUUAUUUACCUGACUUUUGGACCUCGGACCCCUCUAAGGAAUCUGUGUUCAAAUUCCUCACCUCAAAUUUCAGGUCGAAUGCUGGAGUAUCAAGAGGUUCUUUCUCUUCAAGUCCCACUGGUUUUUGCCUCUCUUGUUUUGGCUGGAGGAGACAAUACCCCAUCAAACAAAUUUAUGUAAUUUGGGGUAUUGUGACUCGUCUCAAUUGACACUAUGCCCUCCUUUAUUUUAUAAUAGUAGGAUUAGGGUUUUUUAAAACAUUGCAAUGAAAGUAUGCCCCAGUGGACAGUUCUACCCUGAUACCAACAUUGCACACUCUCCCUCAAGUUGGUGAAUGAAUAUCACACAUUCCCAACUUGCACAAAAUAGAAUGAAAAACUUUACUAUUAAGUCCCUUUGUAAGAACAGCUGCUAGCUGAUCUCUACUUCUCACAAAUGGGAUGUAUAUCAGUCCUUGCUUAGAUUUUCCCCUUGAUAAAAUGUUUGUCAAUCUGCACAUGCUUAGUAUGAGCAAAUUGAACUAGAUUGUGUGCAAUGCUAAUGGCUAACGUAUUAUCACAUCAUAGUUGUAUGGCAACUGAACAUGCACACCCAAGCUUUGAAGAAGUCCCUGAAGCCAAAGUAACUCACAAAUGCCAUGCGUCAUGGCUCGAAACUCAGCCUCUGCACUAGAUCUGGCCACAACUGCCUACUUCUUGUUGCGCCAUGUAACUAGGUUUCCACCAAUAAAGGUCAAGUAGCCUGAUGUGGAUCGAUAGUCAUCUGGAGAGCUUUCCCUAUCAACAUCAUUAUAGGCCUCGACCCGCAUAUGACCAGAAGGGGGGUGAAUGGGAUUCCAUUCUUUGGAGCUGAUUUUAGAUACUAAAGAAUACGAAAUACCAGCUCCAUGUGAGAGGAAUAAGGGUCAUGUAUGUACUGACUCACCAUGCUAACAACAUGAGUAAUAUCUGGUCAAGUGUGGGACACGGGACAGAUAAAUGAACCACCUAACUAAUAUGUGAUAUCUACCCUUAUCAACAAGUUCACCUUCCUUGCUUUUAAGCUGAGUAUUAACCUCAAUGGGUGUUUCAAUAGCUUACAUCCGAACAUACCAGUAUCAGAAAGAAGAUCUAGGGUGUAUUUUCCCUAGAACGAAGCUACACCUUUUGUAGAUCGUGCCACCUCAAUGCCAAGAAAGUACCUUAACUUCCCAAGGUCCUUGAUUUCAAACUCCUUACUAGGAUAAACCUUUGAGUUUAGAGAUUUCUGCUGGAUCACUCCCAAUGACAGCUAUAUCAUCCACAUACACAAUAAGGACAGUAACCUGAUCGCCCACCUUUUAAUGAAUAGGGUGUGAUCAGAACUACUAUGUUUGAAUCUAGUUGCAACCAUAGCCUUGUGAAAGUGACCAAACCAUGUCCUAGGAGACUGCUUCAGCCCAUGUAAUACCCUUCUUUAGCUUUGUAGACUUUCCCUUGAGUUUCCUUGCUAGAGUAACCUGGAGAAACAUUUAUAUAUACUUCCUCAGUUAACUCACCAUGAAGGAAAGCAUUCUUGACAUCCAACUGCUGUAGAUCCCAUCCAAAGUUCAUUGCAUAGGAGAUAAUCGCUCGAACGAUUUUCAUCUUAGCAACCGAGCUAAAUGUCUCCUAGUAGUCAAUCCUAUAGGUUUGAGUAAAACCUUUGGGUACCAAUCUCAUUUUGUAUCUGUCUAUAGUCCCAUCUGCAUUCUGCUUGACUGUAAGAUCCCAUUUUGCAUCCCACAGUUUGCUUGUGCAAUGGAAGAGUAACUAAGUCCCAGGUGCCAUUCUUUCUAGGUGCCCUCAUUUCCUCAUCCAUUGCAUCCUUCCACCAUGGUUCUACAAAAACCUCCUACUAGGUCUGGGGAAUGGAAACAGAAGACACAAAAGCACGAUAGGAAGGAGAUAGGGAGUUAUAAAACACAAUAUUGGAAAUAGGAUGUUGAGUACAAGUCCUACUUCCUUUACGAACAACAAUAGGAAUAUUAAGAGAUGGAUCAAGAGGGAAAAGGUUACCUGAUGGGAGAAUAUACUUUGGAUUAGAGGGCAGUUGUGAUUGAACAAAGAUCAGUAAUAAUGGUAGUGGUGUCGGUUCUCUUUGUCCGGUGUGAAUACACUUGUUACUCCUUUUGAGUAGAUUGGGGUUCCCCUUGUACAAAAUCCUCUUGUAUCCCUUUUCCAGUCACACUCUCCUCUUCCACUUGGGAAAGUGACCAUCAAAUGGAGGAAUCAAAGGUACCUCUUCCCUUCCAAUAGACUCCCUUUGAAGAGGUGCCAAAGAUGAGUAGUAAUCCUAUGUCUCAUGGAACACCACAUCCAUGGUAACUACUAUACGCCAGGAAGGUGGGUGGUAUCUCACAAAUAUAUGUUGAUGUCUCCUGGGAUCAAGCUUGCCAUGGAGAUGAUGGUUUCAGGCAAAGCAAACAGAACCAAAAACCUUGGGAGGCACCACAAAAGAUCUGGACCCAGUAAGUAACUCAUUGGGACAAUAAAAUCUUAGGGCAUGAGAUGGCAUCUGAUUAAUAACAUAUGCCACAAUAAGAAUUGCCUCACUCCAUAAUGGGGUAGGCAAAUGCAUAUAAAAUAUAAGAGAUCUGGUAGCCUCUAACAAGUGUAUUUUUCCUCUCUGCAACCCCACUCUGAGUAGGUGUAUCGACAUAACUAGUCUGGUGAACAAUGCCAUGGUUUGCAAGGUAAGUCUGAAAGGAACAUUUCUUAUAAUUUGUACUAUUAUCUAGUUUCCAUACCUUAAUUCGAGCAUCAUAUUGAUUCAUAACCAAACAAUGAAAUUUCUGGAAACAACGGAAGAUUUCAUUCUUAUAAUGCGAUAGGUAUAUCCAUGUGAGGUGUGUAAGAAAAUUAAUGAAAAAGUGACAAACUAUCGAUAAGCAGUCAUAGACACAUGGCGAGAAGGGCUCCAAACAUCAGAAUGAACCAAUGAAAAAGGAACACUUCUAUUAUGAUAACUAGAAUAAACAUUCCAAGUGUUUUGUAAACACUCAAGCAUCACAAAUAAACUGGUCCUGAUUACAUUACUUAAAUAAAACUGGAAUUAACUUAGAUAAAUUUCCCAAAGGGGGAGACUUAAGUGACGAUGCCAACUGUAUGAAUCUGAUAAUGCCAACUCUGAAGCUGUGUAAUGUGCUUGAGUUGGCAUAGUUGGUGUAAAUCCAAUAUCCAAAUAGUAUAGGCCACCACUCACUCUACCACUUCCAGUUAUUGCCUCUGUCAGCCAGGUCCUGAAACAGACAAUGAGUAGGGAAGUGACUUUACAAUUCAAAUCCUUAGUAAUACUAAAAAUGGAUAAGAGAUUGGUAGAAAACUAAAGAACAUGCAAAACAGAUAAGAGACAACGAUGGAGAGCAUUUGAUAGCUUCCAUUAGCAGAGGGAACCAUUAGCACUCGAACCCUGGUUUUACUUGAGGAUGGAGAAUAUGUGGAAAAAGAACUAGGUGACCCACUCAUGUGAUUUGUAUAACCUGAAUCAAUUUUCAGUUUCGAAUCUACCUCAAGAACUGUUGGUUAGAAUCGAAACCAAACCGAAUUGCUUAUUAAAUCCAAAGCAACUAUUAUAUUGAAGGGUUAAUGUGAAGGGAAGUAAUUAUUGAUGAGUUUGUUCCCAAUACCUUGAUCAAAUAGACAAAUACAAAUUAAUUGUUAUCACGGCACUGCUGAGUACUGACAAACCACCCUGGACGUAAAACACAUUGUCACAAUUUUAUUAAAAUAAUAUAAUUAUUAAGUAAAAGAAAAAUAAAGAAGAAAAGAUGAAGGGGACAAUAAUGAACUUCGGGAGUCAGGAGGCCUUUCCGUUUCCUAUUUUCUUUUUUGUUAUCAAAAACCUUCCCAUUUCCCAAUUCCAGUCGAAGAGAAAGUGCCUUCGGAACUUCAAGCAUUCAAGCAAUCUUAGAGAAGCAAUGGAGGAAUCCAAACUUAUCUCCAUGGAGCUAAAGCAGAGAACUCCGUCGCGGAACUAUAGGGAUUAAAUAAAAAGUGUUUCUUACGGUUACACCCAACAGCCCACUUAAGCAAUUUGCCAUUCACAAAUCCAUUUUUUCCUUUGCUGCUAACUCUCAGUUUGGUUCUACUUCUGGUUCAUUUUGUUACUAAAAACGGAAGGGGAAACUCAGUACCAAAGGCUUGGCGAUCCUUGGUAGAGCUUAUUAAUGAUUUCACACCGAACUCGGUAAACGACAAAUAGGUGGUCUUUCCCCUGGGGAAGAGGAUCAAGUUGGCCCUUGCGAACAGCUUGCUGCACCAUCUCCCUUCAACCCUUUGUGUGAAAUGCGGCAAAAGGAAGGAAAAUCCAUGGACCAACCCCAUUGUUACCAUCGUAUGAACUGAAACAAGUCUGACACCAAGGUCCAUAUGACUCUUUAUCAACAGCCACUGUCGAAGAAGCUGAAAGAUCCUUGCACUUGGCCGCUUGAGUAUCUCCAUUGAUGCUACUAGUUUGUUUGAGGAAAUAACAAACAGAUUUGGUUUCAUCGCUGCUCUUGUCUCAAUAGAUUUGAUUUUAUUUCAAAUCCAAAGUGUAGAUAGAUGAAUUUCACGGUGGGAUAAAUUUGAUAUUGAACGGUGAAGCAGUUAUUCUGCCCAUUUGGGACAAAUUUUGGAUGUAUCCGAAUCGAAAUAAAAACUGUUCAGAUCGGUUAAAGUAUGCAAUGGUAGAACCGAGUCAAUUCUCAGUCCGGUUUUGGUUCAGUCACUCUGAACCGGACCAAAACUGAACCAAAAAUUGGAACUGAGCGAUUGACAAGCUUAAUCCAGGUUGUGAACAAACAAAUGCACAAUGACCACCAAAAGCAAUACCUGUACAGGCAGAAUGUGAUGCAGAGGUAAUUGGCAAGGAGGUAGCAGUAGCAGCAACAGAGGAGGAAGAGGACUCCAUCCUGGACAUCAUGUGACUAGAAUAGACAUCUCAUCCUGUGAAAAAGAUGAACCAACGGGAAUGGUAGUAUCAGAAGCAUCUGUGGUCUCAGACUGAUUCUCUUAGGAUUGAUUGGAAUGCCCACGAGAAUUAUUGGCCGGCCUCCCAUGAAGUUUCCAACAGGUCUCCUUUAUGUGCCUUUCCUUGCCGUAGUAAUCGCAUUGAAAACUGGCUUGUCAUUAGUAGUGGGAACACUGCUCUUUGCAACAUUACUAGAAGGCUGGGAAAUGGGACAUGGUGUAGUGUGUAAGGCAGAGCGUCCCUGUGGGACAGGCUGGAGCAUAACUGUACCCCGACUUUUUUCAACUUAAAGUAGGGAGUAGUCCUGCUCCAAUGUGGGAAAGGGAUCACGGCUAAGGACAUGAGGCCAGAUCUAAUCAAACUCCACAUUCAAACCGGCUGGGAAAUCAUAUACUUGCAACAUCUCCUCGUGCUUCUUGAAGCCUACAACAUCAGUUCCUCCUCAACUCAAAGCACUGGGCUGUCUUUUCCAAUUGGGAAUAGGUUUCUUUAGCAGUUUUCCAGAUAAGAGCAGCAGUCUCCAGCAGCAGGUAACCCCGAGCAAUAGAGGGGGUCGUGGAAUUCAGCAGAUAGGACAUCACCAAGCAGUUGGCAGCAUGCCAUUUGUCUUGAGAAGCACUGGUAGUAGAAGGGUAAGCAGUAGUACUUGUGAGGUGACCCAGAAUAACCUCGGGAACUGAUAGAUAGGAAACAAGAUUUGGACCACAUCAAAUAAUUGCUCCCAUCCCAAUUGAUGGAGCUAGCAGGGAAUGAAGGGUAGUUGCCAUUAGAACCACGACCUACCCCAUCCGAAAGAACUAAUGUAGUCAAAUCCUCUGACGCCAUAUGUGUUGGUAAGAGAAAUCACAAACAAGUAGUGUCCAGAUCUAGCACUUCAUAGAGAUCUGAGAAUAACACAGAAAGUAAUCCACAAACAAGUAAUGUCCAGAUCUAACAAUUCACAGGGAUUUGGGAAUAACAGAGAAAGUAAUCCACGAACUAGACCCCCGGUGGGAAGAAACUCACCACUGAGGUAAAACCCUAAUCGAACCUAAAUAGGGUAAAGGAAGUGCGGCUCUCUAGUGGAGAGGGAAGAAAGAGAAGCAGAGAGAGAGAGAGAGAGAGAGAGAGAUGGUGGCGGUGGCUAGGGCUGCAUGGAGGUGAAAGGCGAUGGAGGGAAGAAGAAGGGAGAAGGCAUUUGAGAUUUAGGGUUCGGGGAAGGGGAACUCACCCGCUUUAUACCAUGUUGAUUUGGGGAAUUGUGAUUUGUGUUAGUUGAUACCAAGCCCUCCUUUAUUUAUAAUAACAGGAUUAGAGUUUCUUAAAAACAUUACAAUGAAAAGUAUGCCCCUAUGGACAGUUCUACCCUUGUACCCACAUUACAAAACUUUCCCAUAUUACCCUCCCCCCUUGUCUCAUUAUUCUCCUUCAUCUGUAUUUUGUUUCUAAUUCCAGGAUCACCCCUUUUUCAUUAUUUUGUAAUCCCUUCCUUAUCCUCUCUUUUGUCUACCUAAAUACCUACCCCUAAAGAUUCCAUCUAUUUAACAAUCAGCCAUUCUCUUAUAAACUUCAAAAUAUUUACUGUUUUGCCACCAAUUUCUUGAUUCGAGUCUUUUAUUACUUUGGUGGGCCCAUAGCAGACCCAAACAAGGUUUCUGAAUCCUGGGAUCGCAUCACUGGGUGAUGAGAAGGUAUUGCAACUCUGGGAUUUGCGAACCAGUAACGGAAAGAUGCUGAUAAGGCCAUCAGGGGAGGAAAGGGAAUGUGCUUUUGAUUUCCUGAUGUUCUCUUGUCCUCAGAAGGGGUGUUUCUUGGGGCCUGGGCAGGGGGUGGUCACACUGCUGCUUGGUGGUUUGAUUUCAGUUGUCAGCUUUUCCUUCCUUUUUCACGUCUUCUACUUCCCCUCCUUUUUUUCUUGUUGUAUUGUUCCUUUUCCUUUUUCUAAUUGGAACUUUGGCUUACUUGAUGCAUAAGCUUCCGCUUGCUUAAUUUUUGGAAGGAAAUAGGAAGAGGAGAGAUGGGGACAGUUUUAUUAUGGUUCUAAGGAAUUAAGUCUGCAAGGGUACUUGUUCAGACAGCAAGAUUCUUAUGUGAAUUGGAUUCUGUUACAGGUGGAACUUCAUUUUGCAUUAAACAUUUUUUCUUUGGGAUAAAUCAUUAAGUACCCAUUUUCAACAUGGUUAAUUCUUUGUUUCAUGGAUUGGAUAUGUGAUCAUUAUUUGGGAACACACCCAGAAUAAGCUAGGAGUACAGUGUGACAACGGAAAGACCUUGAAUGUAUGCAAUGCCAGUUAAUUUUUCUAUUUAUACAUCUUCAAUAUUCUCAAUGUCAUGUUGCACACCAUGGUAAUGUUCUCUUGCUGCUUUGUAUUUUCCUUAUCGAUACCCAUAAUGAAUGCAUCUAGGUUAUUAAAAUGUGGCUUCCUUGCUUUCUUAAACCCCUGUCCAGACUUAAUAAAUAUGGCUUUCUAGCUCAUUUAAAUCCAGUUGGUAACAUCCAUCUUAAUUGAAUCCCCACAUCAUAAGAUAUGGGGAUCUGCUGACCCAGUCUGCUCCUAACUUCUGCACAGAAACCCACGUGUCAGACCAAUUGUAAGAUUCAGAUGCCAAUUAAAGUGGACUCUCCUUCCUAGCAACACAUUUAUGAUAUCCUUUGCAGAGUCGGUAAAACUGUUGUUGUUUUUCUCCAGAUGCCUCGGAUGUUGGUGAAUGAUGCUGUAGCACGAUAUUAUGGACUUGAGAAGGGGCAGGUGGUGAAAGUCACAUACAGUGGUGAAGUUACUGGAUCUCAUGUUACUUACCGUUGUGUUGUUUGAUGGUAAUCAUGGUUGUCACGGAGCCAAGGUGAAUCAAGGUGACCGAGGUGGAAGAAAUUCAAGGUGACACCAGCAAGGUGCCUAGGCAACAUCUUGACAACCAUGCUUUGGAUACUACCCGAGUUUAUUGCAAGUGCUCAGAGGUGGUGCAAGGACGAUGGAAAGGAAAAAGUGCAGGAAUGAGGUUGAGAUAGAACUGGGAAAGAACCUGGGGUUGAAAAGGAUUAUUGUGAAAUCGGAUGCACAGCAAGUUAUUGAGGAAUGUACAUACGUAUUAGCUAAUAUAGCCUGAAAAGACUUGAAUAGUUCAGUUUUUUUGAUCAGAGAAGGUGGAGAAGCGCCUCCACUACGCGAUAUUAUUGAAAACACCUGAAGAAGUCUUUCCUGCUUUUAAGUAAAGCAGGCUGAACAAGAAAGUUAGGUGGUUCUAACUACCACAUUUUAGACAAAUGAGUUAUGGAAGCUCCUCUAGCCAGAACAUGAGCUUCCAGAUUACAUGACCUAGGGAUAUAACAGAAAAGAAUAGUUCAGUUGGUGUGGUGCCCCUUCUAGACUUUGCUAUUUAGUUUUAUUGAUACGUAUGGUGUGCGACGAAAUAUGUAUUCUGUACUUUUGACACUGUUUUUAAUAUCAGGUUUUAGAACAA